rnacentral:misc_RNA from 1 species
CCGAGUACUAUAACUCAUAACCCUUUGUGAACCUUUAUACCUGUUGCUUCGGCGGCGCGCCCCCCGGGGCGUGCCCGCCGGUAUCAUCAGAAUCUCUGUUUGAACCCGACGAUACAUCUGAGUGUUCUAAGCGAACUGUUA